GGGGAGAUGGAAAGAUGUGGCGAGUGGUGGGGUCACGUUGGAGGUGGCGGAAAUGGCGGAGGAUUAUUUGUUUUAUUUGCCGGCUGGUGGGGUGAAAGGUGAGGACUAGGGGGACUCUGCCCUUGUUGUUAGUGCGGGGAUGGGGAGAGAGAGCAUUGUUGCGGGGUAUGGAUUAGACCCUGGUGCGAGCCUCAUCUAUGGUGGCGGAGGGGAAUCCCUGUUCCCUGAAGAACGAGGACAUUUCCAAUGCCCUGGUGUGGAACGCCUCACCCUGGGAGCAGAUGCGGCGUAAGCGGAGGAAUUGGGAGUAGGGGAUGGAGUCUUUACAGGGGGCAGGGUGGGAAGACGUGUAGUCCAUGACUACAUUAUUAAAACACUUAUAAAAGGCUAAUGUGGGCUAAUUGACUUUUGGUAGAACCCUCAAUGGAUUUGAUAUACAUGAAGAGAGCAUUGAUGGGGAUUGUUGUGGAUGGAACGUGUGUGUUGAGGUUGUGGUCACUGGUGAGAAGCUUCAUCAUGCUUCAUUGUGACAUAUCAGAGAAGGGGGAGGGAGGCCUAGACUGUUUGAGACAAAAGGUUAGGUAGGAGCUUUAGCAAUGGCCAGGGACUGGAACAUGAGACUGUGAGGUGAGGGGGGCCUGGAUGUAAUACUGCAGGACUCCAGCCUUUGGCCUUUCCAACAAUUGGUGCAGUUGGAUGGCUUAGCAGUUGGUUUCAACACCUCACUGACAUGUGACACUUUUCCUUCAGGUGCUCCAGUUUCCUCCCAAAGUCCAUCAAUGUGUCGAUGCUGCCUAACCUGUUCAGUGUUUCCAGCAUUUUCAUUUAGCUUUCCAGCAUCUGACUGCCGGGGACAGCAGCGACCUGAGUUCUGCAGAUAUGUGUCAUCUCCUGAAGGGACAAUGUCUGGGAGCAAUGUCAUCCAGAGAACUAUUGGAGGCUGAACCUCUCUGUGUGUAGCCUCUAGGAUGAACAUUCUCUCGUCCCAUGCCGGCCUCCUGUUCAUUCUCCGUCUAUCUACUGCACUUUGGUCGACCAUCACUGCAAAAGCUGCUGAUUGUCUUCCUUGUCCAGAGCCCAUGUGAAGCAGUCUGUGCUCUGGUGUGAGUGUAAUUACCUAUGUAUCUGUCAUAAUUACUCUCUCUACACCAACGACUGCACUCCCACAAACUCCUCUUUCAAGCUUCUCAAGUUUGCAGAUGACACAACCCUGAUUGGACUGAUCCAGGAUCACCCUGGCCUCAAACUCUGAAGCACUUCUCUCUGGAAGGAGACUCCAGAUUGUCAAAGCCUCCACAGCCAAACAUAAAAACAGCUUUUUCCACAAGCAGUAGCUCUACUCAGCAGUCAAAAGUCUGUAGCCUCCUUUUGCUCUGGUAUUUUAUUUAAUUCUUCACAUGUUUAAAUUAUAAUGUUUUAUUUUGAAUUGUCUACUGUAUAUCGUGUUGUUACUUGCGAGCAAAGCACCAAGGCAAAUUCCUUGUAUGUAUACAUACUUGGCUAAUAAAAUGUAUUCAAUUAAUUUCAAUUCAAUUCACCAGUAUCCAUAACAAAAUGCUGACAGCAAGAAGCAGAGGAAGUUGCUGGGCCCUGAACCUUUAUUGACAAGCCCUUUAAUCAUCCUCGUUGAUGGACUGUCCAACCUCACCACUGCUCCACUGUUGACUUGAACACAGCUAGAGGCGAUAAGUCCAAAUCACCAUCAAAACUUGAGAACCCUCUCCUUGUUUUUUUUUUAAUGAUGGACAUGGCCGUCAAGUACAGGCCUUCCUUUUGUACUCAAAUCUAUCCUCCCACAGUUGCAUCAGAGAUGGAUUUAAACUUUCUGGAAUUUCAUACUUCUCCUGCUCAUCCGCUGCCUGUCCCUGAGGAAUUAACUUUGUCCCCACUGAUGCUAAUAGUCAUCCAUCCUUCCCGCACCUCACCUCAAGCUCAAUCAUGUCAAUUCAACAUCGAAUAGCUCUGCUUUGUGUCCUGGCUUAGUCGUAGAUUCAUCAAGCGAUGCAGCAUGGAAAGUUGUUCAUGAUAACCAAGUUACCUACCUGAGCUACUCACUUGCCUGCGUUUGGCCCGUAACCCUCUGGUCCAAGUAAUUGCCAACGAUUUGAAGAGCUACAUCCCCAUCCACACGGAGUCCAUUACUGUAGUACUGAGGGGGGAUAUGUUAAAGGCUCUACAAAACAGGAUGUAUGGGUAGAGCUUAGAAACAAAAAGGGACCAAACACUUUACUAGGGAUUAUAUACCACAGGCCUCCUCACAGUUAGCCGGAGAUAGAGGAGCAAAUAUAUUGACAAGUCACUGAGAAAUGUAGAGGGACCGUUAUUGUGUGUUUAACCCGCACUUCGGGAGUGUGUGAGGGAACAGUGUAGAGUAGUGUUACAUUGUGUCUAACAUGUGCCGAGAGAGGUUACACAAAAAUGCUGGAGAAACUCAAGUCAAGUCAAGUCAAGUUUAUUCGUCACAUACGAGAUGUGCAGUGAAAUGAAAAAGUGGCAAUGCUCACGGACUUUGUGCAAAAAGACAAACAAACAAACAACCAAACAAACUACAAACAGAAUCACAUAUUCUUUUACAUGUUAAAUAUUGUGGGCGGAAGGAAAAACGUUCAGUAAAGUUAGUCCCUGGUGAGAUAGGAGUUUACAAUCCGAAUGGCCUCUGGGAAGAAAUUCCUUCUCAACCUCUCCGUUCUCACAGCAUGGCAACGGAGGCGUUUGCCUGACCGUAACAGCUGGAACAGUCCGUUGCAGGGGUGGAAGGGGUCUCCCAUGAUUUUAUUGGCUCUGGAGUUGCACCUCCUGAUGUAUAGUUCCUGCAGGGGGGCGAGUGAAGCUCCCAUAGUGCGUUCGGCUGAACGCACUACUCUCUGCAGAGCCUUCUUGUCCUGGGCAGAGCAAUUCCCAAACCAGAUGGUAAUAUUUACGGACAAGAUGCUUUCCACAGCCGCUCAGUAGAAGCACUGGAGGAUCCUCGGAGACACUCUGAAUUUCCUCAAUUGCCUGAGGUGGUAAAGGCGCUGCCUUGCCUUACUCACGAGUGCUGCGGCGUGUGAUGUCCAUGUCAUAUCCUCAGAGAUGUGGACUCCCAGAUAUUUAAAACAGCUCACCCUAUCCACAGUAUCCCCAUUUAUCCUCAAUGGUGUGUACGUCC